AUUGAACGCUGGCGGAAUGCUUUACACAUGCAAGUCGAGCGGCAGCACGGGGGCAACCCUGUGGCGAGCGGCGAACGGGUGAGUAAUACAUCGGAACAUGCCCAGUCGUGGGGGAUAACACUUCGAAAGAAGUGCUAAUACCUCAUAAGUCCUGAGGGAGAAAGCGGGGGAUCGUCGGACCUCGCGCGAUGGGAGUGGCCGAUGUCAGAUUAGCUAGUUGGUGGGGUAAAGGCCUACCAAGGCAACGAUCUGUAGCUGGUCUGAGAGGAUGAUCAGCCACACUGGGACUGAGACACGGCCCAGACUCCUACGGGAGGCAGCAGUGGGGAAUUUUGGACAAUGGGGGCAACCCUGAUCCAGCCAUUCCGCGUGAGUGAAGAAGGCCUUCGGGUUGUAAAGCUCUUUCGGCAGGAACGAAACGGCGAGCUCUAACAUAGCUUGCUAAUGACGGUACCUGAAGAAGAAGCACCGGCUAACUACGUGCCAGCCGCCGCAGUAAGAC
rnacentral:rRNA from 1 species